UACAGAGGGUGCAAGCGUUGUUCGGAAUCAUUGGGCGUAAAGAGCGUGUAGGCGGUUCGGUAAGUCUGUCGUGAAAUCCUGAGGCUCAACCUUGGACGUGCGAUGGAUACUGCCGGGCUAGAGGAUGGUAGAGGCGAGUGGAAUUCUCGGUGUAGCGGUGAAAUGCGCAGAUAUCAGGAGGAACACCGAUGGCGAAGGCAGGUCUCUGGGCAUUAACUGACGCUGAGGAGCGAAAGCAUGGGGAGCGAACAGG
rnacentral:rRNA from 1 species